GCUCCGGUGGCCCAGUGGUUCAAGUGUCCGCCUCAGAUGAGAGAGGUGGUGGGUUCGAUUCCCGGCCGAGGCA